CCGACAACUCUUCGUCAAAAGUGCUGAACUCACGGUCAACAAAGAGACCUGGCAGCAGAAGUUGGAGGAAAACAGAUUCAAGGAACUGGAUUACCAACAACAGUCCUUGGAGUAAGUAACAGGGUUACUCUCCACCAACAUUUCUCUUCAAGAAGAGCUGCACAAGGAGCAGGCCAACAACCACCAGUUGGUAGAAGAACACAAACUGCUAAAGAUCAAGACAGAGGCUCUGGAUGAGACUAUCAGGGAGAACGAGGGUUUAUCUCUGAAGCUCACCGAGACCAAAAAAAAACUUUCUGUCAUAAGUGCUGAUCUCAGGGUCAACAACGAGACCUGGCAGCAGUUGGAAGCAGAAAACAAACUGCUGAAGACCCAGAGGGAUUCUCUGGCUGCUUUAAAAAAGAGCCACCACCAUGAGGAGACCCACCACGAGAUGGUCACAAGCAGUGGUUUUGUGGUUUCACUGAGUUGUGUCUGAUCUCUAAGAUCCAACAAACGGAGGAUACCAUUCCCAAAGAACAUCAGAUCCUUAUCACCAGGAUCCAAGAAUUAGAGGAGGACAAAACAGUCCUUGAAAACAUCUGCCUCGACUUAAAGAAACGGACCGGCAGACGGAGAUGGACAAAAUGAGGCGCAAGAUGCAGGACAAGGAGACAAAGAAAUAGGAGAGAGAAGAAAAAGGAGAUAAUCCAGGACGUCAACAUCAACGUGCCUGAGACUAGACACCUGUAAGAACACCUUCCUUCACCUCCCACUCCAUCCUACCUCAUCCAUCUACCCUGAAAAAAAAGAAAUUCUGAAAAAAAAAAAAAAAAGACCGGCAGACGGAGAUGGACGAAAUGAGGCACAAGCUCCAGGACAAGGAGACAAAGACAUAGGAGAGAGAAGAGAAGAAAAAGGAGACUAUCCAGGACGUCAACAUCAACGUGCCUGAGACUAGACACCUGUAAGAACACCUUCCUUCACCUCCCACUCCAUCCUACCUCAUCCAUCUACCCUGAAAAAAAUAUUCUGAAAAAAAAAAAAAAAAGGACCGGCAGACGGAGAUGGACGAAAUGAGGCACAAGCUCCAGGACAAGGAGACAAAGACAUAGGAGAGAGAAGAGAAGAAAAAGGAGACUAUCCAGGACGUCAACAUCAACGUGCCUGAGACUAGACACCUGUAAGAACACCUUCCUUCACCUCCCACUCCAUCCUACCUCAUCCAUCUACCCUGAAAAAAAUUCUGAAAAAAAAAAAAAAAAAAAAGACCGGCAGACGGAGAUGGACGAAAUGAGGCACAAGCUCCAGGACAAGGAGACAAAGACAUAGGAGAGAGAAGAGAAGAAAAAGGAGACUAUCCAGGACGUCAACAUCAACGUGCCUGAGACUAGACAUCUGUAAGAACACCUUCCUUCACCUCCCACUCCAUCCUACCUCAUUCAUCUAGCCUGAAAAAAAAAUUCUGAAAAAAAAAGAUCUAAAAAACAAAACAAAAAAACAGGGAUACUCUGGCUGCUUUAAAACCUAACUCGCUUGUCAGGAUUUCACUUGUACUGUACUGUUGAUUUAUAUUACAGAUUUCAUUUAAUUUUUUUACAACCUUCUCAGUUUUGCACAUUUCCCUUAAGUCAUUUCUGCCUUAUUUUUAUUUCAUGUACAUUUAUUUAAAUAUGUUUUUUUUUUUUUUUUAAUUGGUCGGCUUUAAUUAACUGUACUGUUAAUUUAUAUUGCA
ensembl:lncRNA